rnacentral:rRNA from 1 species
CCUACGGGUGGCUGCAGUGGGGAAUAUUGGACAAUGGGGGCAACCCUGAUCCAGCCAUGCCGCGUGUGUGAAGAAGGCCCUCGGGUUGUAAAGCACUUUCAGUGAGGAAGAACGCCUGGUGGUUAAUACCCAUCAGGAAAGACAUCACUCACAGAAGAAGCACCGGCUAACUCCGUGCCAGCAGCCGCGGUAAUACGGAGGGUGCGAGCGUUAAUCGGAAUUACUGGGCGUAAAGCGCGCGUAGGUGGCUUGAUAAGCCGGUUGUGAAAGCCCCGGGCUCAACCUGGGAACGGCAUCCGGAACUGUCAAGCUAGAGUGCAGGAGAGGAAGGUAGAAUUCCCGGUGUAGCGGUGAAAUGCGUAGAGAUCGGGAGGAAUACCAGUGGCGAAGGUGGCCUUCUGGACUGACACUGACACUGAGGUGCGAAAGCGUGGGUAGCAAACAGGAUUAGAUACCCUAGUAGUC